AUUGAACGCUGGCGGCAGGCCUAACACAUGCAAGUCGUACGAGUGGCAGACGGGUGUGUAAUGUCUGGGAAAAUGCCUGAUGGAGGGGGCUAACUACUGGAAAUGGUAGCUAUUACCGCAUACCAUCAGAUGUGUCCAGAUGGGCUUAGCUAGUUGGUGGGGUAACGGAUCACCAAGGCGACGAUCCCUAGCUGGUCGGAGAGGAUGACCAGCCACACUGGAGCUGAGACACGGUCCAGAAGCCGACGGGAGGCAGCAGUGGUGAAUAUUGCACAAUGGGCGCAAGCCUGAUGCAGCCAUGCCGCGUGUAUGAAGAAGGCCUUCGGGUUGUAAAGUACUGUCAGCGGGGAGGCGUUACCCGCAGAAGAAGCACCGGCUAACUCCGUGCCAGCCGCCGCGGUAAUAC
rnacentral:rRNA from 1 species